UAACAUCCCAAAAUUAUUCAUGAGCAUCAUGCCAUAAUUGCAUAUUUGAAUUCAAAUUUGAAUCUCAAAAGGCUUUUAAAAGAUUUUAUUUCAAUUUAAACCCAAGGGUUUUCACCCAUUUGAGCUUUGGAUCUUCAAACCAAUAGAGUUUGUUUAUAAAAGGGUUUUAUUGCAUAAAUGAGCUAUCCCAUAAUUUUUGGAUAAUUAUUUGGAGUUGAAAACUAUAUUAUUUAAAUAGUUAUACAGCCCUAAAGGCAUUUAUAGGGAAAAUGUAUUUUUAUAUAUUUUAUUUUGAGGGGAAAUUGCUCCCAAAAGUUGAAUCAUGAUAAAACAUGAUUUUACAAAUUUUCUGGAAUUUAUUUGGACCAAUUUGGAGUUCAAAAUCAAAAGAUAUCAAAGAAAUCAGAAAAAGAAAAAGAGAAAAGGUUAAUGGAAAAAAAAAGGGAAACGGGCCGGCCCGGCCGAAUUGGGCCAAACCGGCCCAACUUCUCGCGCACGCCCGCAGCCC
rnacentral:lncRNA from 1 species